CCUACGGGCGGCAGCAGUGAGGAAUAUUGGUCAAUGGACGAGAGUCUGAACCAGCCAAGUAGCGUGAAGAAUGACUGCCCUCUGGGUUGUAAACUUCUUUUAUAUGGGAAUAACAUGUUCCACGUGUGGGAUUUUGUAUGUACCAUAUGAAUAAGGAUCGGCUAACUCCGUGCCAGCAGCCGCGGUAAUACGGAGGAUCCGAGCGUUAUCCGGAUUGAUUGGGUUUAAAGGGAGCGUAGGUGGAUUGUUAAGUCAGUUGUGAAAGUUUGCGGCUCAACCGUAAAAUUGCAGUUGAAACUGGCAGUCUUGAGUACAGUAGAGGUGGGCGGAAUUCGUGGUGUAGCGGUGAAAUGCUUAGAUAUCACGAAGAACUCCGAUUGCGAAGGCAGCUCACUGGACUGCAACUGACACUGAGGCUCGAAAGUGUGGGUAUCAAACAGGAUUAGAUACCCGGGUAGUC
rnacentral:rRNA from 1 species